UUCGGGCGAGGCCGCGGUCCAAGUCCCUUGGAACAGGGCGUCGCAGAGGGUGAGAAUCCCGUACGCGGCCGAUGGUCGAGCCCGUGUGAAGCCCUUUCGACGAGUCGAGUUGUUUGGGAAUGCAGCUCUAAAUGGGUGGUAAAUUUCAUCUAAAGCUAAAUAUCUGUCAGAGACCGAUAGCGCACAAGUAGAGUGAUCGAAAGAUGAAAAGCACUUUGAAAAGAGAGUCAAACAGUACGUGAAAUUGUUGAAAGGGAAGCGCUUGCAACGAGACUCGUUCGCGGGUGUUCAGCCGUCCUUCGGGGCGGUGCACUCUCCCGCGUUUCGGGCCAGCGUCGGUUUCGGCGGUCGGAUAAAGGCCUUGGGAACGUAGCUCUCUUCGGGGAGUGUUAUAGCCUGGGGUGUAAUGCGGCCAGCUGGGACCGAGGAUCGCGCAUUCGCUAGGAUGUUGGCGUAAUCGUUGUCAGCGACCCGUCUUGAAACACGGACCAAGGAGUCGACCAAUCUGGCAAGUUUUAGGGCGUAAACCCCUGAAGCGCAAUGAAAGUAAACGUAGGUGGGAGCCUUCGGGUGCACCAUCGACCGAUCCUGAUGUCUUCGGAUGGAUUUGAGUAUGAGCCCGGCUGGUCGGACCCGAAAGAUGGUGAACUAUGCGUGAAUAGGUGAGCUAAUUUAUAAAUUCAGCGAAUUGUAAAACGUUUCUAACAAAUCAAUAGGGUGAAGCCAGAGGAAACUCUGGUGGAGGCUCGCAGCGGUUCUGACGUGCAAAUCGAUCGUCAAAUUUGCGCAUAGGGGCGAAAGACUAAUCGAACUAUCUAGUAGCUGGUUCCCGUCGAAGUUUCCCUCAGGAUAGCAGCAACGAAAACAGUCUCAUGAGGUAGAGCAAACGAUUAGAGGUCUUGGGGUUGUAUU
rnacentral:rRNA from 1 species